UAAAAUUAUACUGCCUGCCCAAUGAAGUAAUUAAAUGGCCGCGCAAGUGCUAAGGUAGCAUAAUAAUUAGUUUUUUAAUUGGAAAAUGGAAUGAACGGUACCACCAAGGAUAUAUGUACGAUUUAAGUUCGUGAAUUUUUAUUCCUGGUGAAAAUACCAGGCCCAUAAACUUAGACAAAAAGACCCUAUGAAGCUAAUGAAUAAAAAGAAAACUACAUAUAUACAGAAUAUAUUCAUUUUUUGGGGUAAAACUAAAUAUCUAUAUUUAAAAUUGACAUAAACUGCUGAGCCUUUAGGAAUAGCGACAAAGCUCCUCUAGGGAUAACAGCAUUAUACUUAAAAGAGCUCCUAUCAAAAU
rnacentral:rRNA from 1 species